rnacentral:rRNA from 2 species
UGCGCGAGCAGGUGAUAGAAUCUUCCACAAUGGACGAAAGUCUGAUGGAGCAACGCCGCGUGAGUGAUGAAGGUUUUCGGAUCGUAAAACUCUGUUGUUAAAGAAGAACAAGUGUUAGAGUAACUGUUAACACUUUGACGGUAUUUAACCAGAAAGCCACGGCUAACUACGUGCCAGCAGCCGCGGUAAUACGUAGGUGGCAAGCGUUGUCCGGAUUUAUUGGGCGUAAAGCGAGCGCAGGCGGUUUUGUAAGUCUGCUGUGAAAGCCCUCAGCUCAACUGAGGAAGUGCAGUGGAAACUACAAAACUUGAGUACAGAAGAGGAAAGUGGAACUCCAUGUGUAGCGGUGAAAUGCGUAGAUAUAUGGAAGAACACCAGUGGCGAAGGCGGCUUUCUGGUCUGUUACUGACGCUGAGGCUCGAAAGCAUGGGUAGCGAACAGGAUUAGAUACCCUGGUAGUCCAUGCCGUAAACGAUGAAUACUAGGUGUUGGAGGGUUUCCGCCCUUCAGUGCCGCAGCUAACGCAUUAAGUAUUCCGCCUGGGGAGUACGACCGCAAGGUUGAAACUCAAAGGAAUUGACGGGGGCCCGCACAAGUGGUGGAGCAUGUGGUUUAAUUCGAUGCUACGCGAAGAACCUUACCAGCUCUUGACAUCUUCUGCCAACCCAAGAGAUUGGGCGUUCCCUUCGGGGACAGAAUGACAGGUGGUGCAUGGUGUCGUCAGCUCCGUGCAAUU